CAUGUGUUGGCAGAUUAGUGCCAGUGCUUUAAACGCAUUAAAUAGAUGAUUAUCUACAUAUGA
rnacentral:tRNA from 1 species